rnacentral:rRNA from 1 species
GACGAACGCUGGCGGCGUGCUUAACACAUGCAAGUCGAACGGAAAGGCCCUGCUUUUGUGGGGUGCUCGAGUGGCGAACGGGUGAGUAACACGUGAGUAACCUGCCCUUGACUUUGGGAUAACUUCAGGAAACUGGGGCUAAUACCGGAUAGGAGCUCCUGCUGCAUGGUGGGGGUUGGAAAGUUUCGGCGGUUGGGGAUGGACUCGCGGCUUAUCAGCUUGUUGGUGGGGUAGUGGCUUACCAAGGCUUUGACGGGUAGCCGGCCUGAGAGGGUGACCGGCCACAUUGGGACUGAGAUUACGCCCAGACUCCUACGGGAGGCAGCAGUGGGGAAUAUUGCACAAUGGGCGGAAGCCUGAUGCAGCAACGCCGCGUGCGGGAUGACGGCCUUCGGGUUGUAAACCGCUUUCGCCUGUGACGAAGCGUGAGUGACGGUAAUGGGUAAAGAAGCAACGGCUAAAUACGUG